UUUCUAUCACAUAUUUCAAUUAUUUCAACAAACUAAUUUCACUCAUUUUAGAAAAUAAUUUCAAUAGUUUCAGCAAAACUUAUUAUUUAAAAAAUGAGUGUACUACAGAAACAACAACAAAAAAAUCAAUCUUUUUAGAUUUCAAUCAUGAUUUCUGUUAUACCAAUUACACAUAUAAGAAAAAAUUGACACAAACAAUUUCAAUUUAUAUUACCAUAACUUGUUCAAUACAAAUCACACUGAUAUAACAAAUUACACAUAUAAGAAAUACCAAUUUUAUAUAUUUCAGACAAGUAAUUUCCUAUAUUGUCACAAAUAAGUGAAACUGAUUAUUCAAAUGGGUGACAUAAACAAUUUCAAUUUCUUAGAAAAAAGGUGAUUUUAGCUACUCCAAAUUCAUUUUUACUCAAAAAGAGUGAAAUCCAUUGUAGCUAAUGUGAUACAAACAAUUUCAAUUUAUAUCUCGACAACUUUUGCAAUACAUAUCACACUGAAAUAACAAAACACACACUUAGAAAAUACCAAUUUCAAAUAUUUCAGACAAGUAAUUUCAUAUAUUUUUAAUUUUAAUAAGCGAAAUAUUUCAUACACAUACCAGUUUCACUAUUUUUUUCACUUCUAAAUGAACAAAGUAUAUUUCAGUUAUUCGGGUAUCUUAUUGCACAAAAGAGUGAAACUCAUUAUUUCAAAGUACUGACAUAAACCAUUUAAAAAAAAAUGAACCCACAAGUUCUCAUUCACAUAAUGAAGAAACAACAGUUUCACAAAGAGAAACAUGCAUUCCAAUUUCUAAAAAAAAAUGCAUUUCAACAAAAAAAUUCCAAUUCCAAUUCUGUUUCACUCACGAAUGUUAGUUUCACAAAUCCGCAUUUCACAUCAGAUAUAGCAGUUUGACAUAUCUACAUAUCUAUUUCGAUUUCAGUACAACAAUAUCACAUAUAUCACACAAUCUGCUAUAGAUCUUCCCAUCGAUUUCAAUUAGACACCUUCAUUUCCAUCAAAUAUAACAGUUCAAUAUAUCACACAAGCAGGGGAGUUGUCCAUCUAGUGAAGAAGCAAGGGGGGAUCUCAAAACAUGUACCAUAAAACAAAAAUCAGGAAGUAAACACAGAGAUAAAGAUAUUAGGGGAGUUGUGCUUACUCGGGGGUGGACGCAUAUGGUCGUGGGCUUCAUGACUCACCAGAUCCGGUGGCGGUCAUUCUUGGAUUCGCCGGAUCCGGUGACGACCCUGCUCGUCGAACCGUCGUGCUAGGUGGCUGCUGUGGAGGAAUAACGCCGGAGUAGGUCUCCCCAACGCCAGCGCCCACGGCAAGGCGGGGUCAGGAGGUUAGGACCGGCGGACUUUGUCGGUCCUAGAGGAGAGGUGGCGGCGAUCUGUGGAUGUUAGAUGGUACUAGGGUUGUUCGGGCAGGGAAGGCAUCACUGGCAAAUAUAUAGUAUGGGUACUGAGUGAGAAGACCACAUGAUUUAUAUCUGAUGGCUCAAAAUAUAACUUGUUUAUGUCCACACAACAAAU
rnacentral:lncRNA from 1 species